rnacentral:rRNA from 1 species
CAUACCACUUGUUGCCUCGGCGGAUCAGCCCGCUCCCGGUAAAACGGGACGGCCCGCCAGAGGACCCCUAAACUCUGUUUCUAUAUGUAACUUCUGAGUAAAACCAUAAAUAAAUCAAAACUUUCAACAACGGAUCUCUUGGUUCUGGCAUCGAUGAAGAACGCAGCAAAAUGCGAUAAGUAAUGUGAAUUGCAGAAUUCAGUGAAUCAUCGAAUCUUUGAACGCACAUUGCGCCCGCCAGUAUUCUGGCGGGCAUGCCUGUUCGAGCGUCAUUUCAACCCUCAAGCCCUCGGGUUUGGUGUUGGGGAUCGGCGAGCCCUUGCGGCAAGCCGGCCCCGAAAUCUAGUGGCGGUCUCGCUGCAGCCUCCAUUGCGUAGUAGUAAAACCCUCGCAACUGGAACGCGGCGCGGCCAAGCCGUUAAACCCCCAACUUCUGAAUGUUGACCUCGGAUCAGGUAGGAAUACCCGCUGAACUUAAGCAUAUC